CAAAAGUGAAAGUAGAAAAGCAGAAAGUUUCCGAUAAAAUGUAAAUUGAAAUGGAAGUCUUCUUCAAAGAAUAAAACACAACAAUGAGCCACACUUGAUAGUUUUUCAAUACAGACGCAUUUUGCCGGAAAACGAAUCUGACUUCAAACCACGAAAUUUUAACAGGAAAGAGACAAUUUGAUGAGCUUUCAUUCAAGAGGUCCCUCGUUGCUGAACGAAAAUUAGGGCCGGAGCUAUGAACCAUAACGUUAACAUUACCGCCUAUGGAAAAUGCAUUAGUGGACUAUACCCAA